rnacentral:rRNA from 1 species
UUUACACGCGUUAGACGAACGGUCUGGAAAGUCCGACGAUACAGGGUGAUAGUCCCGUAGUUGACGACGUGUGUUCAGUGAAAUCGAGUAGGGCGGGACACGUGAUAUCCUGUCUGAAUAUGGGGGGGACCAUCCUCCAAGGCUAAAUACUACUGACUGACCGAUAGUGAACCAGUACCGUGAGGGAAAGGCGAAAAGAACCCCUGUGAGGGGAGUGAAAUAGAACCUGAAACCGUGUACGUACAAGCA